AACGAACGCUGGCGGCAGGCUUAACACAUGCAAGUCGAACGCACCUUUCGGGGUGAGUGGCAGACGGGUGAGUAACGCGUGGGAAUCUACCCUUCUCUACGGGAUAGCUCCGGGAAACUGGAAUUAAUACCGUAUACGUCCUGAGGGAGAAAGAUUUAUCGGGGAAGGAUGAGCCCGCGUUGGAUUAGCUAGUUGGUGGGGUAAAGGCCUACCAAGGCGACGAUCCAUAGCUGGUCUAAGAGGAUGAUCAGCCACAUUGGAACUGAGACACGGCCCAAACUCCUACGGGAGGCAGCAGUGGGGAAUAUUGGACAAUGGGCGCAAGCCUGAUCCAGCCAUACCGCGUGAGUGAUGAAGGCCCUAGGGUUGUAAAGCUCUUUCAGUGGGGACGAUAAUGACGGUACCCACAGAAGAAGCCCCGGCUAACUUCGUG
rnacentral:rRNA from 1 species